rnacentral:lncRNA from 1 species
CCAAGGCAAAGUUUGGUCGGAAACUAGUUUUUGCAUUAGACUCUCCAUGGGCUCCAUAGACUCUCCUGUACCUUACGACUAGGCACAGGAGCGUUUCCCCGGUGAAAUGGAGAAGAGGACACUUGGUCUUUUCAACUUUACUAGGAGGGCUCCUUUCUUCCCAGUCCGUAAGGAGGGGUCUGACUUUCAUUUCCACCCCAGCAUUAUCACCUUAACUCUCAUUCCAGUCAAUCCCGAAACUCCGUUGCCCUACCCACUUCACCCUUCUUUUGUUUGUCCUGAUUUGAUUCCUGCGUUCUCACAGAGGGCUACCUGGACUUUGAACCUCCACCCCCCUUUCUACAUUCUUGCAUUCCAGAAACAUAUGAAGCUCAUUUCUGCCACCCUUCCUAGAAAACUGGUUCCUGACAGAGACAUGUGGAAAGGUAAGUAAACCUGGGCCCAAGAUCACAGAGCACACAGCUGGAAUUCACAGCAAGACCUGAUUGACUUCGAAGUCAGUGGUCUUUCCCCUGCUUCCCACGAGACAGGUAAUCCC